rnacentral:rRNA from 1 species
AGAGUUUGAUCAUGGCUCAGAAUCAACGCUGGCGGCGCGCCUAACACAUGCAAGUCGAACGAGAAAGCGGGAGCAAUCUCGCAAGUACAGUGGCGUACGGGUGAGUAACACGUGGAUUAUCUGCCCUGGAGUGGGGAAUAACGCUGGGAAACCGGCGCUAAUACCGCAUAUUCCCGAGAGGGGAAAGCAGCAAUGCGCUCGAGGAGGAGUCCGCGGCCGAUUAGCUAGUUGGCAGGGUAAAAGCCUACCAAGGCUAUGAUCGGUAGCCGGCCUGAGAGGGCACACGGCCACACUGGCACUGAAACACGGGCCAGACUCCUACGGGAGGCAGCAGUGGGGAAUCUUGCACAAUGGGGGAAACCCUGAUGCAGCGACGCCGCGUGAGCGAUGAAGCCCUUCGGGGUGUAAAGCUCUUUCGGCAGGGAAGAUUAUGACGGUACCUGCAGAAGCAGCUGCGGCUAACUACGUGCCAGCAGCCGCGGUAAUACGUAGGCAGCAAGCGUUGUUCGGAGUUACUGGGCGUAAAGGGUGUGUAGGUGGCCUGUUAAGUUCCGUGUGAAAUCUCCCGGCUCAACCGGGAGGGUGCGCGGAAAACUGGCGGGCUAGAGUACGGGAUGGGAGAGUAGAAUUCCUGGUGUAGCGGUGAAAUGCGUAGAUAUCAGGAGGAAUACCGGUGGUGUAGACGGCUCUCUGGACCGUAACUGACACCGAGACACGAAAGCGUGGGUAGCAAACAGGAUUAGAUACCCUAGUAGUCC